rnacentral:rRNA from 1 species
GACGAACGCUGGCGGCGUGCCUAAUACAUGCAAGUCGAACGCUUUUUCUUUCACCGGAGCUUGCUCCACCGAAAGAAAAAGAGUGGCGAACGGGUGAGUAACACGUGGGUAACCUGCCCAUCAGAAGGGGAUAACACUUGGAAACAGGUGCUAAUACCGUAUAACACUAUUUUCCGCAUGGAAGAAAGUUGAAAGGCGCUUUUGCGUCACUGAUGGAUGGACCCGCGGUGCAUUAGCUAGUUGGUGAGGUAACGGCUCACCAAGGCAACGAUGCAGAGCCGACCUGAGAGGGUGAUCGGCCACACUGGGACUGAGACACGGCCCAGACUCCUACGGGAGGCAGCAGUAGGGAAUCUUCGGCAAUGGACGAAAGUCUGACCGAGCAACGCCGCGUGAGUGAAGAAGGUUUUCGGAUCGUAAAACUCUGUUGUUAGAGAAGAACAAGGAUGAGAGUAGAACGUUCAUCCCUUGACGGUAUCUAACCAGAAAGCCACGGCUAACUACGUGCCAGCCGCCGCGGUAAGAC